UACGGAGGGUGCAAGCGUUACUCGGAAUUACUGGGCGUAAAGCGUGCGUAGGUGGUGAGUUAAGUCUGUCGUGAAAGCCCCGGGCUCAACCUGGGAAUGGCGAUGGAUACUGGCUCGCUAGAGUGCGGUAGAGGAGAGUGGAAUUCCCGGUGUAGCAGUGAAAUGCGUAGAUAUCGUAAGGAAGACCAGUGGCGAAGGCGGAUCUCUGGACAGUUACUGACACUGAGGCACGAAGGCCAGGGGAGCAAACGGG
rnacentral:rRNA from 1 species